rnacentral:rRNA from 1 species
UACGUAGGGGGCAAGCGUUGUUCGGAAUUACUGGGCGUAAAGCGUGCGUAGGCGGUCCGGUAAGUCCGGUGUGAAAGUCCAGGGCUCAACCCUGGAAAGCCGGUGGAUACUGUCGGGCUAGAGUCCGGAAGAGGCGAGUGGAAUUCCUGGUGUAGCGGUGGAAUGCGCAGAUAUCAGGAGGAACACCGAUAGCGAAGGCAGCUCGCUGGGACGGUACUGACGCUGAGACGCGAAAGCGUGGGGAGCGAACAGG